ACAGUAGUAGACUAUGUAGCAGAGUGUUUAAUGAUGCAGUACAUUAUGAGGUGUCUACAGUAGUAGACUAUGUAGCAGAGUGUUUAAUGGUGCAGUACAUUAUGAGGUGUCUACAGUAGUAGACUAUGUAGCAGAGUGUUUAAUGGUGCAGUACAUUAUGAGGUGUCUACAGUAGUAGACUAUGUAGCAGAGUGUUUAAUGGUGCAGUACAUUAUGAGGUGUCUACAGUAGUAGACUAUGUAGCAGAGUGUUUAAUGGUGCAGUACAUUAUGAGGUGUCUACAGUAGUAGACUAUGUAGCAGAGUGUUUAAUGGUGCAGUACAUUAUGAGGUGUCUACAGUAGUAGACUAUGUAGCAGAGUGUUUAAUGGUGCAGUACAUUAUGAGGUGUCUACAGUAGUAGACUAUGUAGCAGAGUGUUUAAUGGUGCAGUACAUUAUGAGGUGUCUACAGUAGUAGACUAUGUAGCAGAGUGUUUAAUGGUGCAGUACAUUAUGAGGUGUCUACAGUAGUAGACUAUGUAGCAGAGUGUUUAAUGGUGCAGUACAUUAUGAGGUGUCUACAGUAGUAGACUAUGUAGCAGAGUGUUUAAUGGUGCAGUACAUUAUGAGGUGUCUACAGUAGUAGACUAUGUAGCAGAGUGUUUAAUGGUGCAGUACAUUAUGAGGUGUCUACAGCUGUUGGUCAGUGUCUAUGUGGUUACUA